rnacentral:rRNA from 1 species
AACACCAGACCCGAACGUCGAUCUGUUGGCCCGUAACUGACGCUGAGUAUCUGAUAGCCAGGGGAGCGAACGGGUUUAGAUACCCCGGUAGUCACGGCCGUAAAGGCUGUGCACUAGGUGUAGGGGGGGGAUCGACCCCCACUCAUUUGAAGGUUACACAUUAAGUUCAACGCUCGUGGAGUAUGACCGCAACGUUGAAACUCAAAGGAAAUGUCGGGGGCCCGCACAAGCGGUGGAGCCCCCGGUUUAAUUCGAGGCUACGCGAUGAACAUUACCAGGGAUUAACAUCACCUUUUAUGGCGUCGUACUUCGUGGAAACACGGGGGCAAGACAAAUAGGUGCUGCAUCGCUGUGGUCAGUCCGUGUCGUGAGAUGUUGGGUUAAGUCCCGCAACGAGCGCAACCCCAUCUCUCUGUUACCAGCGGGUAAUGCCGGGGACUUUCAGGGAACAACCUCCGUUAGAGGGAGGAAGGGGGGGAGUAUGUCAAGUCAUCCAGGCCCAUAGGUCGGGGGCUACACGCGUGGCCCAAUGGCUGGUUCAAAGGGUGGCAAAACUGUAAAGUCGAGCCAAUCCCAAAAAACCAGUCCCAGUUCGGAUUGUGGGAUGCAACUCGCCCGCAUGAAGCUGGAAUCCACAGUAAUCGGAGAUCAGCCACGCUCCGGUGAAUACGUUUCCGGGCCUUGUACACACCGCCCGUCACAUGACCCGAGUCGUUUGCACCCGAAGCCGGUGACCCAACCUUAGGGAGGGAACUGACGAAGCAGUCGAUCUGAGGGGGACGAAGUCCUAACAAGG